UCCCUGAGGGUUUGAUCCUGGCUCAGGGCGAACGCUAGCGGCGCGCCUAACCCAUGCAAGUCGUGCGGGAAAGGAAGUUUUCUUCCAAGUACCGCGGCAAACGGGUGAGUAACACGUGAGUAACCUAUCCUCGGGUCUGGGAUAACCACCCGAAAGGGUGGCUAAUACCGGAUAAAGUCACUGGGCGCAAGUUCAGUGAUGAAAGGAAGCCUCUGCAUAGCAAGCUUCUGCCUGAGGAGGGGCUCGCGGCCCAUCAGCUAGUUGGUGGGGUAAUGGCCCACCAAGGCUAAGACGGGUAGCUGGCCUGAGAGGGUGGUCGGCCACACGGGCACUGAGACACGGGCCCGACUCCUACGGGAGGCAGCAGGGGGGGAUCUUGGGCAAUGGGCGCAAGCCUGACCCAGCGACGCCGCGUGGGGGAAGAAGGCCUUCGGGUCGUAAACCCCUGUUCUGGGGGAAGAACCCUGACUAGGUUAAGAGCCUAGUCAGGCUGACGGUACCCCAGGAGAAAGCCACGGCUAACUGCGUGCCAGCAGCCGCGGUAAUACGCAGGUGGCAAGCGUUGCCCGGAAUCACUGGGCGUAAAGGGUGCGUAGGCGGCUGGGUAAGUCGCAGGUUAAAGCCCGGGGCUCAACCCCGGAAAGGCCUGCGAUACUGCCUAGCUUGAGGGCCGGAGAGGCUGGCGGAAUUCCCGGUGUAGGGGUGAAAUCCGUAGAUAUCGGGAGGAACACCGGUGAGGAAGCUGGCCAGCUGGACGGUUCCUGACGCUGAGGCACGAAAGCGUGGGGAGCAAACCGGAUUAGAUACCCGGGUAGUCCACGCCGUAAACGAUGGGUGCUAGGUCUGGGGAGGUAAACUCUCUGGGCCGAAGCUAACGCGUUAAGCACCCCGCCUGGGGAGUACGGCCGCAAGGCUGAAACUCAAAGGAAUUGACGGGGGCCCGCACAAGCGGUGGAGCACGUGGUUUAAUUCGAUGCAAAGCGAAGAACCUUACC
rnacentral:rRNA from 1 species